UGGAGCGCCCAGGCGCACCCAGGAAACCCCUUUGUGAACUUAUACCUUACUGGUUGCCUCGGCGUACGCCUGGCCCCCAGGGGUCCCUCUGAUCUACAGAGGAGCAGGCACGCCGGCGGCCAAGUUAACUCUUGUUUUUACACUGAAACUCUGAGAAAAAAACAAAAAUGAAUCAAAACUUUCAACAACGGAUCUCUUGGUUCUGGCAUCGAUGAAGAACGCAGCGAAAUGCGAUAAGUAAUGUGAAUUGCAGAAUUCAGUGAAUCAUCGAAUCUUUGAACGCACAUUGCGCCCUCCGGUAUUCCGGAGGGCAUGCCUGUUCGAGCGUCAUUUCAACCCUCAAGCCUGGCUUGGUGUUGGGGCACUGCUUCUCUCGCGGGAAGCAGGCCCUCAAAUCUAGUGGCGAGCUCGCCAGGACCCCGAGCGUAGUAGUUAAACCCUCGCUUUGGAAGGCCCUGGCGGUGCCCUGCCGUUAAACCCCCAACUCUUGAAAAUUUGACCUCGGAUCAGGUAGGAAUACCCGCUGAACUUAAGCAUAUCAAUAAGCGGAGGA
rnacentral:rRNA from 1 species